UACGUAGGGGGCGAGCGUUGUCCGGAUUUAUUGGGCGUAAAGAGCUCGUAGGCGGCUUAGCAAGUCGGGUGUGAAAACUCCAGGCUCAACCUGGAGACGCCACUCGAGACUGCUAUGGCUAGAGUCCGGUAGGGGACCACGGAAUUCCUGGUGUAGCGGUGAAAUGCGCAGAUAUCAAGGAGGACACCGGUGGCGAAGGCAGCCCCCUGGGUCAAGAUUGACGCUCAUGCACGAAAGCGUGGGGAGCAAACAGG
rnacentral:rRNA from 1 species